GCCAGACUCCUGCGGGAGGCAGCAGUGGGGAAUAUUGCACAAUGGGCGAAAGCCUGAUGCAGCAACGCCGCGUGAAGGAAGAAGGGUUUCGGCUCGUAAACUUCUAUCAACAGGGACGAAAGAAAUGACGGUACCUGAGUAAGAAGCCCCGGCUAACUACGUGCCAGCAGCCGCGGUAAUACGUAGGGGGCAAGCGUUAUCCGGAUUUACUGGGUGUAAAGGGAGCGUAGACGGCAGAGAAAGUUUGAAGUGAAAGCCCGCGGCUCAACCGCGGAACUGCUUUGGAAACUUUUCGGCUAGAGUACCGGAGAGGUAAGCGGAAUUCCUAGUGUAGCGGUGAAAUGCGUAGAUAUUAGGAGGAACACCAGUGGCGAAGGCGGCUUGCUGGACGGUAACUGACGUUGAGGCUCGAAAGCGUGGGGAGCAAACAGGAUUAGAUACCCGGGUA
rnacentral:rRNA from 1 species